ACAACCGCGACGGGCUGUGGAGAGCCGCGCCCGCGGCGCCGUGAAACAGCCUGACGGUGU
rfam:Pyrobaculum aerophilum str. IM2, complete genome.